rnacentral:rRNA from 1 species
AUUGAACGCUGGCGGCAGGCCUAACACAUGCAAGUCGAGCGCGCGGCGGACGUGUGAGUAAUGUCUGGGAAACUGCCUGAUGGAGGGGGAUAACUACUGGAAACGGUAGCUAAUACCGCAUACCAUCAGAUGUGCCCAGAUGGGAUUAGCUAGUAGGUUGGGUAACGGCUCACCUAGGAGACGAUCCCUAGCUGGUCUGAGAGGAUGACCAGCCACACUGGAACUGAGACACGGUCCAGACUCCGAAGGGAGGCAGCAGUGGGGAAUAUUGCACAAGGGGCGAAAGCCUGAUGCAGCCAUGCCGCGUGUAUGAAGAAGGACUUCGGGUUGUAAAGUACUUUCAGCGGGGAGGCGUUACCAGCAGAAGAAGCACCGGCUAACUCCGUGCCAGCAGCCGCGGUAAUUC